AAAGGAAUUGACGGGGGCUCACACAAGCGGUGGAGCAUGUGGAUUAAUUCGAAGCAACGCGCAGAACCUUACCUGGGUUUGACAUGUUUGGAUGCUCUCUGGGAAACCGGAGCAGGCUGCCCUUCGGGGUGAAACAUACACAGGUGCUGCAUGGCCGUCGUCAGCUCGUGUCGUGAGAUGUUGGGUUAAGUCCUUAAACGAGCGAAACCCUUGCCGUUAGUUACCAUCAGGUUAUGCUGGGGACUCUAACGGGACUGCCGGUGUUAAACCGGAGGAAGGUGGGGAUGACGUCAGGUCCUCAUGGCCUUUAUGCCCAGGGCUUCACACGUGCUACAAUGGGCUGUACAGAGCGACGCUAAGCCGCGAGGUGGAGCAAAUCGCACAAAGCAGUCCUCAGUUCGGAUUGCAGGCUGACAACUCGCCUGCAUGAAGUUGGAAUCGCUAGUAAUCGCGUAUCAGCUAUGACGCGGUGAAUGUGUUCCUGAGCCUUGUACACACCGCCCGU
rnacentral:rRNA from 1 species